AAGGUCUGCCGGAUGGUCGCGCUUUCUUUUCUGAUCGAGUGGAUUUUCCCUCAUUCGGGAAGUUUGUGAGGAAAGUCCGGACACCAUAGAACCACGGGACCGGGUAAUUCCCGGAGUUCGGGAUCGUAAGAAACCGGAUAUGGAAAGUGCAGCAGAAAAUAUACCGCUAGUUUUCUAGUAAGGGUGAAAUGGCGGGGUAAGAGCCCACCGCCGCUUUUGUGAAGAAGCGGGCAAUGUAAACCCUCCCGGGUGCAAUCUCGAAUAGGCGGCCAUCGUUGGUUCUGCAGGGCCGUGGGUAGAGAGCAAAGAGUCUUUUCGGUAACUAAAAGACCAAGAUAAAUGAUCAUCGCUCGCAAGAGUACAAAAUCCGGCUUAUAGUCAGGCCUUCCAC
rnacentral:RNase_P_RNA from 1 species